rnacentral:rRNA from 1 species
AACGAACGCUGGCGGCAGGCCUAACACAUGCAAGUCGAGCGAGACCUUCGGGUCUAGCGGCGGACGGGUUAGUAACGCGUGGGAACGUACCCUUUUCUACGGAAUAGCCUCGGGAAACUGAGAGUAAUACCGUAUACGCCCUUCGGGGGAAAGAUUUAUCGGAGAAGGAUCGGCCCGCGUUAGAUUAGAUAGUUGGUGGGGUAAUGGCCUACCAAGUCUACGAUCUAUAGCUGGUUUGAGAGGAUGAUCAGCAACACUGGGACUGAGACACGGCCCAGACUCCUACGGGAGGCAGCAGUGGGGAAUCUUAGACAAUGGGCGCAAGCCUGAUCUAGCCAUGCCGCGUGAGUGAUGAAGGCCUUAGGGUCGUAAAGCUCUUUCGCCUGUGAAGAUAAUGACUGUAGCAGGUAAAGAAACCCCGGCUAACUCCGUGCCAGCAGCCGCGGUAAUACGGAGGGGGUUAGCGUUGUUCGGAAUUACUGGGCGUAAAGCGCGCGUAGGCGGACUAUUAAGUCAGAGGUGAAAUCCCAGGGCUCAACCCUGGAACUGCCUUUGAUACUGGUAGUCUUGAGUUCGAGAGAGGUGAGUGGAAUUCCGAGUGUAGAGGUGAAAUUCGUAGAUAUUCGGAGGAACACCAGUGGCGAAGGCGGCUCACUGGCUCGAUACUGACGCUGAGGUGCGAAAGUGUAGGGAGCAAACAGG